rnacentral:rRNA from 1 species
AUUGAACGCUGGCGGCAUGCUUUACACAUGCAAGUCGAACGGUAACAGGUCUUCGGAUGCUGACGAGUGGCGAACGGGUGAGUAAUGCAUCGGAACGUGCCCAGUCGUGGGGGAUAACGCAGCGAAAGCUGCGCUAAUACCGCAUACGAUCUAUGGAUGAAAGCGGGGGACCGUAAGGCCUCGCGCGAUUGAAGCGGCCGAUGUCAGAUUAGGUAGUUGGUGGGGUAAAGGCCCACCAAGCCAACGAUCUGUAGCUGGUCUGAGAGGACGACCAGCCACACUGGGACUGAGACACGGCCCAGACUCCUACGGGAGGCAGCAGUGGGGAAUUUUGGACAAUGGGCGCAAGCCUGAUCCAGCAAUGCCGCGUGCAGGAAGAAGGCCUUCGGGUUGUAAACUGCUUUUGUACGGAACGAAACGGCUCUCUCUAAUACAGAGGGCUAAUGACGGUACCGUAAGAAUAAGCACCGGCUAACUACGUGCCAGCAGCCGCCGUAAAAC